CCUACGGGAGGCAGCAGUAGGGAAUUUUCGUCAAUGGGCGCAAGCCUGAACGAGCAAUGCCGCGUGAACGAGGACGGUCUUCGGAUCGUAAAGUUCUGUUGAAGGGGAAAAAGAGCGGAGAGAGGAAAUGGUCUCCGAUUGAUAUUACCCUUCGAGGAAGUCACGGCUAACUACGUGCCAGCAGCCGCGGUAAUGCGUGGGUGGCGAGCGUUAUCCGGAAUGAUUGGGCGUAAAGGGGGCGUAGGCGUCCUGCUAGGUCUGGGGUGAAAGGUACCGGCUCAACCGGUACAGGCAAUGGAAACUGGCGGGCUAGAGAGCAGGAGAGGGAGGUGGAACUCGAUGUGUAGCGGUAAAAUGCGUAGAUAUAUGGAAGAACACCAGUGGCGAAGGCGGCCGCCUGGCCUGUUACUGACGCUGAGGCACGAAAGCGUGGGGAGCAAAUAGGAUUAGAUACCCCAGUAGUC
rnacentral:rRNA from 1 species